UGGGGAAUUUUCCGCAAUGGGCGAAAGCCUGACGGAGCAAGACCGCGUGAGGGAAGAAGGCCUGUGGGUUGUAAACCUCUUUUGAUAGGGAAGAAGUUCUGACGGUACCUAUCGAAUAAGCCUCGGCUAACUCCGUGCCAGCAGCCGCGGUAAUACGGAGGAGGCAAGCGUUAUCCGGAAUUAUUGGGCGUAAAGCGUCCGUAGGUGGUUGUUCAAGUCUUCUGUCAAAGCGCGGAGCUUAACUCCGUAAAGGCAGAGGAAACUGAGCGGCUAGAGUGCGAUAGGGGCAGAGGGAAUUCCCAGUGUAGCGGUGAAAUGCGUAGAUAUUGGGAAGAACACCGGUGGCGAAAGCGCUCUGCUGGGUCUGCACUGACACUGAGGGACGAAAGCUAGGGGAGCGAAAGGGAUUAGAUACCCCUGUAGUCCUAGCUGUAAACGAGUGGGUACUAGGCGUUGUCCGUAUCGACCCGGGCAGUGCCGUAGCUAACGCGUUAACGUACCCCGCC
rnacentral:rRNA from 1 species